GACUCCCAACCACCCUUAAUGA
rnacentral:tRNA from 1 species